GAUUUAUAUAGAUCAGUGUACGGAGUUUUGCGUUGCAUGAUGGGAACAACGAAGAAAAAUUUAUCCUUGACCAUUCCCAUCAUGCACCAUUAUUUUGUUUAAUCCUCAUUUAAGGGACUGGGUACGAGUCAGCUACAUUAACGCAUAUUUCCUCUUGAUUGACAACGGCAGAAAUAGUACAGCCAAUCAUCAAUUCACGUCCACUGUUGGACGGGAAUUAAAUUAAGUGUAAAAAUAACUAGAUACUAUGCAUGGAAUAAUUCGCAUGAACACAGGCAACAAUGGUACAGUAUAGAGGGUUCGUUAAUCUUCCACAAGACCCUUGUCGCGCUUGCAGCCUUUUUCCUAUGUUACAAAACGUAUAUUAUAUUCCAAUGUUAUACAGGGUGUCUAAAAAAAACGCUAUGGAAAUUCAACAGACUGUAGAACACUUGCAUCCAAGCCCCUGGGUUAUUUGUUUUGUGAUUAUAGGGACGGACCAUCUCACAGAAAAAAUCCAGAAAAAAAAUAUCGUGCACAACA
rnacentral:lncRNA from 1 species